rnacentral:rRNA from 1 species
CCCUUAGAUGUUCUGGGCAGCACGCGCGCUACAAUGGUCUUCGCAAACGGAUGCAUUCUCGAAGGAGAAUGCCAAUCUUGGAAUCUAUGCCUUGGUCGGGACAGUUGCUUGCAAUUUUUCGACUCGAACCAGGAAUUCCUUGUAAUCGUGAUUCAUCACAUCACGAUGAAUACGUCCCUGCCCUUUGUACACACCGCCCGUCGCUCCUACCGAUUGAACGAUCCGGUGAAAUCUCAGGACUGAGAUUGAUUAACGGUUCGCCGUUACCAGUUUCGGGAAUUUGCUUGAACCUUAUCGUUUAGAGGAAGGAGAAGUCGUAACA